rnacentral:rRNA from 1 species
UACGUAGGGUCCGAGCGUUGUCCGGAAUUAUUGGGCGUAAAGGGCUCGUAGGCGGUUUGUCGCGUCGGGAGUGAAAACUCAGGGCUCAACCCUGAGCGUGCUUCCGAUACGGGCAGACUAGAGGUAUGCAGGGGAGAACGGAAUUCCUGGUGUAGCGGUGAAAUGCGCAGAUAUUGGGAAGAACACCAGUGGCGAAGGCGGUUCUCUGGGACGGUACUGACGCUGAGACGCGAAAGCGUGGGGAGCGAACAGG